rnacentral:rRNA from 1 species
GAUGAACGCUAGCGGCAGGCUUAAUACAUGCAAGUCGAGCGGGAAUUGGGUAGCAAUACCUGAUGAUAGUGGCGCACGGGUGCGUAACGCGUAUGCAACCUACCUUUAACAGGGGGAUAGCCCGGAGAAAUUCGGAUUAAUACCCCAUAGUAUUAUGGAGAGGCAUCUUUUCAUGAUUAAAGUUCCGGCGGUUAAAGAUGGGCAUGCGUGCCAUUAGCUAGUUGGUGAGGUAACGGCUCACCAAGGCGACGAUGGUUAGGGGUCCUGAGAGGGUUAUCCCCCACACUGGUACUGAGACACGGACCAGACUCCUACGGGAGGCAGCAGUAAGGAAUAUUGGUCAAUGGGCGGAAGCCUGAACCAGCCAUGCCGCGUGCAGGAAGACGGCCUUAUGGGUUGUAAACUGCUUUUGUCAGGGAAUAAACCCUCGUUUGCGAACGAGGCUGAAGGUACCUGAAGAUAAGCAUCGGCUAACUCCGUGCCAGCAGCCGCGGUAAUACGU